GUGCUCUCUUCUGCAGCACGGAUAAUAAAACUGGAACAAUACAGACAGGAUUAGCGAGGCCCUGCGCAAGGACAACACGUGAAGGGAAAAGUGCUGCCAGUUCCAU
rnacentral:snRNA from 1 species